AACAGUCACUACUACGAUCGGUACACAAAUAAAACCAAAAAAAAAACAAUGGCCGAAAACAGUAUAGUGAGUAAGACAGGAGACCGGCUUUAUUCUCAUCCCUACUCCGUGAUGUUUGCUGGAUGAGAGGUGACAACGUAAUGUAGACAUCUAGCGGGGAUAACUGAUCGAUUGAUAGUUAUCGACCGGCGAAGGCAGGAGAUCAAAUUGAAUUGAGAAAAAAAUCACAAUUAAAGGAAAUUAUUAAAAAUAAUAAAAAAUAAAAAUUGCGAUGGAAAAAUAGGAGUAAUAUAUUUUUUUUUUAUUCUAAGUCAUGACAAAAUAAAAAUAAAAAUCCUGCCA
rnacentral:misc_RNA from 1 species